rnacentral:rRNA from 1 species
CGCAUCUGUGCAUGCAGCAUAUCAAUAAGCGGAGGAAAAGAAACUAACAAGGAUUCCCCUAGUAACGGCGAGUGAAGCGGGAAGAGCUCAAAUUUGAAAUCUUAAAGGGUUUCCCUUUACGAAUUGUAGUUUAAAGAAGUGUUUUCUGUUGAGGUUUUGGUAAAAGUUCUUUGGAAUAGGACAUCAUAGAGGGUGAGAAUCCCGUAUUUGACCUUUACUUUCAACUUUGUGAUACACUUUCAAAGAGUCGGAUUGUUUGGGAAUGCAGUCCAAAAUGGGUGGUAAACUUUCAUCUAAAGCUAAAUAUUGGCGAGAGACCGAUAGCGAACAAGUACCGUGAGGGAAAGAUGAAAAGAACUUUGAAAAGAGAGUUAAACAGUACGUGAAAUUGUCAAAAGGGAAGCGUUUGACACCAGUGUUGUUUUUCUGAAAAUCAAUUAAAGAACUGUUUAUGCUAAGCUUGUUUAGACUUUAUCAGCUAUCUGCUUAGUUUUGAGCUUUUCUUUAAUGCACUUUUCAGUUAACAAGUCAACAUCAAUUUCUUUUGCUGUAAAAAAGCUUGAGGAAGGUGGCUUGAGAUUCGUCUUAAGUGUUUAUAGCCUCUUGCCUAUGCAGUCGGAGAGAUUGAGGUCUGCAGCGUAGAUCCUUCGGGGCUAAAUGCAUUUGUGCUAAGUUAUAGCAUUUUAUAGACAACUUGUUGACUAUGAUUUGUCUUGUAGCUUACUCGCUUAUGUUAUUUUACCUACGCUUAGGAUGUUGAGUCAUCACACAUCUCU